AUUAUGGAGAGUUUGAUCCUGGCUCAGGAUUAACGCUGGCGGCGUGCCUAAUACAUGCAAGUCGAGCGAACAGACGAGAGUGCUUGCACUCUCUGACGUUAGCGGCGGACGGGUGAGUAACACGUGGGUAACCUACCUAUAAGACUGGGAUAACUUCGGGAAACCGGAGCUAAUACCGGAUAAUAUCUAGCUUCGCAUGAAGCAAUAGUGAAAGACGGUUCUGCUGUCACUUAUAGAUGGACCCGCGGUGUAUUAGCUAGUUGGUGAGGUAACGGCUCACCAAGGCAACGAUACAUAGCCGACCUGAGAGGGUGAUCGGCCACACUGGGACUGAGACACGGCCCAGACUCCUACGGGAGGCAGCAGUAGGGAAUCUUCCGCAAUGGACGAAAGUCUGACGGAGCAACGCCGCGUGAGUGAAGAAGGUUUUCGGAUCGUAAAACUCUGUUGUAAGGGAAGAACAAGUACGUUAGUAACUGAACGUACCUUGACGGUA
rnacentral:rRNA from 1 species